rnacentral:rRNA from 28 species
GUUGACCUCGGAUCAGGUAGGGAUACCCGCUGAACU